rnacentral:rRNA from 1 species
AGAGUUUGAUCCUGGCUCAGAGUGAACGCUGGCGGCGUGCUUAACACAUGCAAGUCGAACGAGAACGGGUCAUAGCUUGCUAUGACUGUCAGCUAAGUGGCGGACGGGUGAGUAAUGUAUAGUUAAUCUGCCCCCUAGAGAGGGAUAACUACUGGAAACGGUAGCUAAUACCUCAUACUCCUUCUACCUUAAUGGUAGUUGGGAAAUGUCUUUUCGCUAGGGGAUGAGACUAUAUGGUAUCAGGUAGUUGGUGGGGUAAGAGCCCACCAAGCCUAUGACACCUAGCUGGUCUGAGAGGAUGAUCAGCCACACUGGAACUGAGACACGGUCCAGACUCCUACGGGAGGCAGCAGUGGGGAAUAUUGCACAAUGGACGAAAGUCUGAUGCAGCAACGCCGCGUGGAGGAUGACACAUUUCGGUGCGUAAACUCCUUUUAUAUAGGAAGAUAAUGACGGUACUAUAUGAAUAAGCGCCGGCUAACUCCGUGCCAGCAGCCGCGGUAAUACGGAGGGCGCAAGAGUUACUCGGAAUCACUGGGCGUAAACAGCAUGUAGGCGGGUAAUUAAGUCAGAAGUGAAAUCCUAUAGCUCAGCUAUAGAACUGCUUUUGAAACUGAUUACCUAGAGUAUGGGAGAGGUAGGAGCUGGAAUUAGUGGUGUAGGGGUAAAAUCCGUAGAUAUCACUAGGAAUACCGAAAGCGAAGGCGAUCUCCUGGAACAUUACUGACGCUAAGGCGUGAAAGCGUGGGGGAGCAAACGGGAUUAGAUACCCCGGUAGUCCACGCCCUAAACGAUGUUCACUAGUCGUCGGAAUGCUAGUCAUUUCGGUGAUGCACUUAACAGAUUAAGUGAACCGCCUGGGGAGUACGGUCGCAAGAUUAAAACUCAAAGGAAUAGACGGGGACCCGCACAAGUGGUGGAGCAUGUGGUUUAAUUCGAAAAUACGCGAAGAACCUUACCUAGCCUUGACAUUGAUUGAAUAACGCAGAGAUGUGAUAGUGCUUGCUUGCAAGAACUUUCAUACAGGUGCUGCACGGCUGUCGUCAGCUCGUGUCGUGAGAUGUUGGGUUAAGUCCCGCAACGAGCGCAACCCUCGUGUUUAGUUACUAACAGUUCGGCUGAGGACUCUAGACAGACUGCCUGGGUAACCAGGAGGAAGGUGAGGACGACGUCAAGUCAUCAUGGCCCUUAUGUCCAGGGCUACACACGUGCUACAAUGGGGCAUACAAAGAGCAGCGAUACCGCGAGGUGGAGCAAAUCUGUUAAAAUGCCUCUCAGUUCGGAUAGCACUCUGCAACUCGAGUGCUUGAAGUUGGAAUCGCUAGUAAUCGUGGAUCAGCAAUGCCACGGUGAAUACGUUCCCGGGUCUUGUACUCACCGCCCGUCACACCAUGGGAAUUGAAUUCAUUCGAAGCGGGGAUGCUAAAAUAGCUACCUUCCACAGUGGAUUUAGUAACUGGGGUGAAGUCGUAACAAGGUAACC